UACGUAGGGGGCAAGCGUUGUCCGGAAUCAUUGGGCGUAAAGAGCGUGUAGGCGGCCCGGUAAGUCCGCUGUGAAAGUCCAGGGCUCAACCCUGGGAUGCCGGUGGAUACUGUCGGGCUCGAGUCCGGAAGAGGAGUGUGGAAUUCCUGGUGUAGCGGUGAAAUGCGCAGAUAUCAGGAGGAACACCGGUGGCGAAGGCGGAUCUCUGGGCCUGUCCUGACGCUGAGGCGCGAAAGCUAGGGGAGCGAACAGG
rnacentral:rRNA from 1 species